CAGUCGCCGCGGUAAUACGUAGGGGGCAAGCGUUGUCCGGAAUUAUUGGGCGUAAAGCGCGCGCAGGCGGUCAUUUAAGUCUGGUGUUUAAUCCCGGGGCUCAACCCCGGAUCGCACUGGAAACUGGGUGACUUGAGUGCAGAAGAGGAGAGUGGAAUUCCACGUGUAGCGGUGAAAUGCGUAGAUAUGUGGAGGAACACCAGUAGCGAAGGCGACUCUCUGGGCUGUAACUGACACUGAGAGAUGAAAGCUAGGGGAGCAAAUGGGAUUAGAUACCCCGGUAGUCCAUGUCUCUUAUACA
rnacentral:rRNA from 1 species